CGCGACCCCAUCUCGCACUCCCGUGGCUUCCGCCCGCCGCCCCACUCGCGAAUCGGAAGUAGACGCAUGGUCCCCGGCGCCAAGCAGGGGUGCAGGGACGGCGGUCGGUGCGCGGGUCCCAAGUGGCCUGCGCGGGCAGCAGGGGCGCAGGGACGGAGGCCGGCGCGUGCGCUCCCCGGCGGCCAGCGCCACCACCUGCUGCCGGCCCCACCCGACGGUGGCUCCUGCGCGGACGCUCGACGCCGCCUUCACCCCUGACGGUCGACGACGACAAUCCUGGCCCCCGACUUGGCGACUCCCCUCCACCUCUCCUCGGCGUGGUCCACCGUCCGUAGCUGCCGCCUGGUCCGUGUGGUUCCGUCUACGGCUGCCGCUCUCCGACUCUGCUAAUCGAGGAAUUGGUGAAGCAGCUUUAGUAUUGAAGUGUUUCUUUUCCAUAGACACAUCAAUAUUGUAACACCAAUUGGAUUAUUGCUGCCGAGCAAUUUGACAUCGAAUUUGUACAUACUAUAUAUGAUGAGUUCUGGUUUACAUCUAGGCUUCAAUUGUCGAUGUGUUUGAUUGAAAUUUAUGUGAUUGUGAACCCCUCAAAUUAAAUAUGUGUCAGUUUUAGCUGGUA